GUGUCAGACUACUCUCCUACGAACCUGACCUUGAGAAUUUUUUAAAACAAUUGACUUGGAUCAUGUUCUACAUUUGUGUACAUGUCACCUCGCACUGUUCCUCCACUCUGAAUCCCAACACCCUGUGGAAUUAGUUUAAACCCUCACCAACUACACUAGCAGCAAAACCACCCCCAGAAAAGAUGUUGUUUCCAUUCCAGCUCAGAUACAACAGUAGGAUAGGUCUUACCUUCUCAGAUGGUCCUAGGUGUCCAGGAAUCUAAAACCCUCCCUCAUACUCCAUCUCUUCAACCACACAUUCAUCUAUUCUGUCUAUCUAUUCCUGUACUCACAGCACAUAACACCGAAAGUAAUCGAGAGAUUACAACCUUUGAAGUCCUGCAUUUUAAUCUGCUACCAAGCUCCCUAUAUUCUUGUUUCAGGACCCCAUCCCUCUUUGUACCUUUGUUACUGGAUCAAGUGAACCACAAUUUCUCUGUUUGCCUUCCCUCUUCAGAAUGUCCUGCUACCUUUUAAUGACUUUCUUGACACUAGCCCAGUGAGGCAACACAUGUCUAUGGCUGCAGAAAAGCCUGUCAAUACCCCGCCAGAUUGUGUCAACCACCUACCACUAAUGUUCUCCCUUUCUUUCCACUACCCCCUUAUGCGGCUAGUCUAUGACUGCACUCCCCAAAGAAGCUGCGCCUCUCACAGGUUUUCAACACACAAAAUCUGUGCUUGUGCGGGUUGUACUCUGGGCUUUCUUAACUACUUGCCUGCCUCACUUCUGACCAGAAGAGACACAUUCCUUAUCCAGCUGCACUUACUUGAGCUGCAGGAUGACUACAUUGAAAGAAAAAUAUGCUAUCCAUGUAAUUCUCAGCCUCAAAGAUAUAUAAUAUGCCUCCAGUUGAUGCUCCGGCACUGAAGCUGACCAAACUGGUGGCAUUUACUUCAUAUCGUUGUCAUCCAGACUUCCACGAGAGUCUAAAAUGUCCCACAUCACCACAGGCCAUGCAACACAAGGACUGAGUUCCCCUGCCAUACCUGGUCUUAGUCUUAAACUAACUUCCCUUAUGUUAAAUUUACUCUCCUUUCUUUAUUGUACUUUGGCUUCCUUAUGUUAGUUUAUUAAAUUGGCCUUGACUCUCACUUAUUUCUAAUGUUUCUAUGUUACCCUGUUCUUUCAAAAACAGUAGAACACUUCGCUAAUCUAUAAGACAGUCCUUAACAACAUCUUAUCAGCCAAUGAACUUAUAGAUUUUCUGCAAUGUGACUUUUUUUAAAAUCAAAUUCAGUAGUGGUUGGUUCCUAGCAGCUUAAUGACGUUCUUUUGCUCCUCCAAGGUAAUUUGUUGUUUCUUAAAGUAUACACUUGUUUAAUCACAAACCACAGAUCCACCUUUCCAACCUGUUACCUGACGGUUUGUUUGUUUGUUUGUAUUUUCUUUCCCAUUCAGGUGUUGUCUCGAAGCUCCAGCUGUUAAACCUGGGCUUCCUUUCUUGCUAUUGUAUCGCUGAACUGCUACUCACCCUUCCCUGAUUCGAGGCCUCAAUAUUUUCUCUGCUGCCUCCUGUCUUAUUGCUAUAUUGUAACUGGAGUGCUGGGCUCCUUUUGCUGGUAGAUGAAGGUGAUGAUGCCUUUCCUCAUGGAUUCAAACUGCCUGCCAGAAACUUACUCUGGUAUAUGUGCAGCAAGUCCUGCCAAUCACGUCCCACAGAGAUGAAUACAACUUGGUUGUAAGCUAUCACUGAGGAGUUUUACUCUUCUGAGAACUUAGAUUAGAUUACUUAGUAAAGAAACAGACCCUUCGUGCUGGCCACAGUCAUUUCAUCUGAAGUUAGAGGUUUAUUCAGGCUCUCCUUUACAGUCAUCAAAGAUCUUUGUGAUAGAGGACAGGAAUGACUUGGAUACCAUGCUAUAUGUAGACUUCUGGUCAUACUGUCUGGCCAUGAAAACAUUGGUCUGUUCUCAAAAUAUCAGUGUUACAUCCAGACUAUGGAUAAAGUUCCCCAAGUUAUUAUAGUUCCAGAUUGAAUACCCACAUUUUCAAGCUCCUGGAUGAGGUGGAAUGAACUGGCUGUCCUCCUUUAUUCACACAUUUUCUUGGUUGGUCACAACAAGAUGAAUUUGCAAAGGAACCUCUCCCUUCUGCAUACCUUUCUCGCAGACCAAAUAUAGAACACCUCGGUUAUCCAAGCAUCAAUUAUCCGAAUUUCAGAUUAUCUGAGAAAGAGCUAAAGGUCCCGAAGUUUGAGAUCGGAAACUGAAAUUUGUCACUACUUGCAGAAACUCUCUUUCCAAGAUAGACUGCCCACCAGUGAAGUCAGCAACUUCUCUCUCGCUCUGCCUCUGUCAUUUAUUUUCUUUCUGCUUCUUGUUUUAAAAUAUUAAAUGAUGAGAUAAAUCUAACAGUAGAGGAUAUGGUUUUCUCACUCCUUAGAGGGGUUUCCAGUAGGAGUGGAACUGUUGUGCAAGGAUCCAGAGGUAGACGGCAUUGCAUCCCUGGGACUGUUUGUGCAAGGCUGCAGUUUCUAACCAACAGCAGUGAAGGAAGUGCAGGGCUGAUGGUUGCUAAGGGGAGAAACCCGAAGGAGAAGAAGCAAAGGAGAGGAGAGGAAAGGAAUAGAUGGCCUCGAAAUCCGGCUGAAAAGGUUAGAGACAGCAGUUUGGUGUACACCCGAGGGUGGCCUUCCCACUGGCUGAUUUAUCUCUGUCUAGUGCAAGUGUUUAAAUGUUAAAUUAAUUCAACCUCCUGUUCAUUUUAACUUGAUUUGAGAUAUUUACCUGAUUCUGAUCAGUUAUCUGAACAAUCAGUUAUCCGAACAAAAUACUACCCACCUGUCUCAUUUGGAUAAUUGAAGUUGUUCUGUCAAUUUAUGUUUUAAAAGGAGCCAAUUUAAUGGCUUGUUUGAGUUAAAAAAGAGUAACUAUUAAUUACUAAACAGGAGUAGAAAUAGUAAGAUAAGGCGCACACACAGAUUUGGAAUGAAACAUGAGUCCCAAAAAAAAGAUACAAGUUAAAAAGAUAAAUGAGUCAGUCUCUCAGUCAUUUGUGAGUAGUAGAUAAUCAACAUUGCACCCGGGACAGUGUAUGUUGCUGAUUGCAUUGACGAUGGUAGUUGGAUAGGCUCCUUUGAGAUACUGAGUUCUACAGCUAAUUUGAAAUUCCUUCAUCCUGGUUCCAUUCAACUGUGGCUAGCUAGCAGCAUUCAAAUUUGAUAUGUUCAUUAGUGAUCUGGGGUUAUGAUCCAUUCUUGUGACAAUCAGACUAUGAUGACUUUACCAAGGUGUCUUCUUCCUUCAGGCUGCUGAUCACAUGGCUCUCUCUACGUACCUUCUAGAAGAAGAAACACAAGUAUGUCUCAUCCUGCAUCAUAGAGCAGACUCUAGUGUGAAAGAUUAUCUUCAAGGCCUCUGAAGCCAAGAGUGAGGCUUUUUGGUUCUUCACUUCUUGGAAGCCUACUGAACUUAAAAACUGCAUUGUUACUUGCUUUAAAAUCAUUUAAGCUUGUGGAGCACUGAUACCUGAAGAUUAGCCAAGAGGUAGUGAUACCUAACAUUUGAAAGAAGAAAAUGUAGAAGCAUUGGCCCCAAUUCAAAAGAUAUUAAGCCUGAACAACUCCAAUUAGGACUGGCAUGUCCUAAUUUAGCAGGCUAUUCAACCCGUGGAUAUUCAUCUAGGAGAAAGUGAGGAUUGCAGAUGCUGGAGAUCAGAGUCGAAAGUGUGGUGCUGAAAAAGCACAGCUGGUCAGGAUAUUCAUGCUCGGCAUAUGUACCACAGCAUCAACAUCACCAUAGAGAAUGAAAGGGAAUGACAUUUUCUGCUGUGUGGAAACAAAGCAACACCCAAAAGAUACCAUACACAUGGAUCAUGACUGGAAUGUCUUUUGUUCAAAUGGUACCAAUUCCAUUGUUUUUGGGAUAACUCGUAAACAUAUCCGGAUGCCUUGCAAAAGCGUCGUCUCGCUUUCCUGUGUCUUCUGGAUUGCCUUUGCUAUCGAGGAUCUUAAGGUGACAUGAAGCGAUAUCAUCCCCUCUCCUCAUCAUACAUAUACAAACUCGAGUUCUGUUUUUUCAGUGCUCAGUUUCGCAGAUUUCAGUAUUUUAAUUUCAACUCAUACUGAAUGCCAUUAAAUAUUUCUCUGCAUGUUACUUAAUUAUAUUAUUUGUUCAAAAACAUUUUGCCUUCCAAAUAAAUUGUUCAACCUACAAAAAAACCUUAUAUGACUUAUAUAUGAAGGCACCCAGAUCUCACUGCCAACUAGUUCUGUAAGCUCUCUCCAUGUAAACCAUAAGCUGUUUUUCCCAUUUUUCCUGCCAAAAUAGACAGCAUUAGCAUUUUUUACCCCAUCUCCCAAUUUUUCAUCAAUCAGUUCACCAUACAUCCCAUUAUGGACACGUUAUGCUCACGGAGAAAGUGAGGACUGCAG